rnacentral:rRNA from 1 species
UACGGGGGGAGCAAGCGUUGUUCGGAUUUACUGGGCGUAAAGGGCGCGUAGGCGGCCUGUUAAGUCGAACGUGAAAUCCCCGGGCUCAACCCGGGAACUGCGUCCGAUACUGGCAGGCUUGAAUCCGGGAGAGGGAUGCGGAAUUCCAGGUGUAGCGGUGAAAUGCGUAGAUAUCUGGAGGAACACCGGUGGCGAAGGCGGCAGCCUGGAC